CAAUACCGCGUUCGAUUUCAUUCUAUCAAUUGGAGAUGAGCGGUAAUGAUAAUUUGAAAGUGAAACAGGAAGUAGAAGUGAAAUUGCGGAUCUAUUUCCCCCUGUUCGUGCUCGAAUCAUGCUCGAAUACAACUUCCAUUUGAGUCAGCUUGGCGAAAACUGCGGAAAUUCUCUUUCAUAGCCCAUUAGAGUUGAAGUUCUUCAGAAAAACACGCCAUUUGACAAUAUCCCGUAUGGUUUCAGUCUUCCGUCAUCAAAGUCAACUUCAUCUCCAACCUCUCAAAUGUCACACAGCAAGGAUAUCACAAAGUGAGAAGUCCAGAGAUCGUCACAUGAAAGCAACAUAGGUCAAGCUUGAGAUUAUGCCUGGCCAAAUGUAAUGCUCGGAAGUUGUGGCAUAUCACGAUAUCAUUUGCAUCCAUCAUCUUCUUCAACAUUGCCAGCAGCUUGAGAUGGCUUCAAUUCAUUUCAAAAGAGGCCCAACCCAAAAGGGCCUCACCUGGAGGAGCUCCUCCCGAAUGAAGCAAGCCAUGCCGUUGACGACGUCCAUUAUGAAAGUAGACUACCAUACCACAGCGUAGCAAGAGAUUCCAAAGUUAACAACUUGAAUCGUAGAAUUCCGCCGAUUGAAACUGGAUAAGGUUGUCAAUGGUGAACAGACUGGGAAAAGGCGGAACCAUUUCGGCAUGCAGAACUUGAGGAGCUCCCAAAACUUGGAUGACAACGCCAACCACGAAAGUCGGAAUGUGCUCUGAAAUGUUGACUUUAAUUUAUGACAAUGAAAUAAAUCAUGGCGGGGAUUGGCAGGAAUGAGAUUGCUUGAACAUGAAGCCAUUAAGUGGAUGAUGGAAUGAAUAAUUUCGGUGCGUUUGGACUCUGGAAACAAGUCAAUUGAACUUGGCCAGCGAGCGUUCCAUUGAUCGAAUUCGUGCUCACGAAUUUGUCACGUUUGAACAUGAUAUGUACCAACAAUCAUGCAACCGGGAGAGGAAUUGAUUAUCAACCAUCGUUGACUCCUGGGAUGGUUGGUUGGACGAAGGGAUGACGGGAUGAAGGGAGGGAAGGAGUUCUUUGUCUAGGAGCGGUUCGCACCUUGGAAAAAUAUUGAUUAUUAUUCAACUAGCAGGCCAUCAAAAAUUAUAUGAAAAAAAAAAACGUAAAGAGUCGAGAAGAACUCCACCUCAGGACGGCAUGACAUUUUGUUUCUUUUUUUUCUAGGGUUGAGCCAAGAUUUACACACAUUCAUUGGUUUGGUUUUGAAGAAUACGUCGUGUAAUAUAUUGCGCCAAUAGAUCUGCAUUUACAGUCGCAUUCUUUCAAUCAGAGCAUUCAAGAGGCAACCUUUAACGGUUUCCACAUUACAAAGUGUCCUUCAUGCCAUCGAAAACAGCCCACUCCGUUCAACGGAUAUCAGAUUCCAAUACAUAUCCUGCCACAUUUCAAACUGGUUGUUUUAUGAGGCUAUAAGCAAAGCAACGCUUUUAUUCAGUUCGGCAAUGCAUUUGAUUGGCUGCUUGGCAGAAGGCAAAUGUACUAGAACAGAAGACAGCCCAUCAAUAUUGCAGCCUCAACGUUUUCCUAAUACGGCUCGGAUACCGUAGAUUUGACUUUCCUUGAGUCAAUGUCAAUACGCUGUACUACAAAUGGAUUGCAAUUUGCUCUCAUUUCAAUCCUUUGGCGAAUUGACGCGUAGGUCGACGAAAUGGAAGCGGGCAAAAUUCCAAGAUAUAUGAUGGUGAUGGUGAUUCUCCUAUAAGACAAGUUCA